rnacentral:rRNA from 1 species
GGUUAAGCGACUAAGCGUACACGGUGGAUGCCCUGGCAGUCAGAGGCGAUGAAGGGCGUGCUAAUCUGCGAUAAGCGCCGGUAAGGUGAUAUGAACCGUUAUAACCGGCGAUACCCGAAUGGGGAAACCCAGUGUGACUCGUCACACUAUCAUUAACUGAAUCCAUAGGUUAAUGAGGCGAACCGGGGGAACUGAAACAUCUAAGUACCCCGAGGAAAAGAAAUCAACCGAGAUUCCCCCAGUAGCGGCGAGCGAACGGGGAGGAGCCCAGAGCCUGAAUCAGCAUGUGUGUUAGUGGAAGCGUCUGGAAAGGCGCGCGAUACAGGGUGACAGCCCCGUACACAAAAGCGCAUGUGCUGUGAGCUCGAUGAGUAGGGCGGGACACGUGGUAUCCUGUCUGAAUAUGGGGGGACCAUCCUCCAAGGCUAAAUACUCCUGACUGACCGAUAGUGAACCAGUACCGUGAGGGAAAGGCGAAAAGAACCCCGGCGAGGGGAGUGAAAAAGAACCUGAAACCGUGUACGUACAAGCAGUGGGAGCACCCUUCGGGGUGUGACUGCGUACCUUUUGUAUAAUGGGUCAGCGACUUAUAUUCUGUAGCAAGGUUAACCGAAUAGGGGAGCCGGAGGGAAACCGAGUCUUAACCGGGCGUUAAGUUGCAGGGUAUAGACCCGAAACCCGGUGAUCUAGCCAUGGGCAGGUUGAAGGUUGGGUAACACUAACUGGAGGACCGAACCGACUAAUGUUGAAAAAUUAGCGGAUGACCUGUGGCUGGGGGUGAAAGGCCAAUCAAACCGGGAGAUAGCUGGUUCUCCCCGAAAGCUAUUUAGGUAGCGCCUCGUGAAUUCAUCUCCGGGGGUAGAGCACUGUUUCGGCUAGGGGGCCAUCCCGGCUUACCAACCCGAUGCAAACUGCGAAUACCGGAGAAUGUUAUCACGGGAGACACACGGCGGGUGCUAACGUCCGUCGUGAAGAGGGAAACAACCCAGACCGCCAGCUAAGGUCCCAAAGUCAUGGUUAAGUGGGAAACGAUGUGGGAAGGCCCAGACAGCCAGGAUGUUGGCUUAGAAGCAGCCAUCAUUUAAAGAAAGCGUAAUAGCUCACUGGUCGAGUCGGCCUGCGCGGAAGAUGUAACGGGGCUAAACCAUGCACCGAAGCUGCGGCAGCGAACGUAUCACUUAAAGCGAUUCAGCGGGUUACGAUUGACGGAGCGAAGCGACGUCAAAGCGUAUACAAAGUCGAGUCGGUUUAAGGAUACGUUCGUUGGGUAGGGGAGCGUUCUGUAAGCCUGUGAAGGUGGCCUGUGAGGGUUGCUGGAGGUAUCAGAAGUGCGAAUGCUGACAUAAGUAACGAUAAAGCGGGUGAAAAGCCCGCUCGCCGGAAGACCAAGGGUUCCUGUCCAACGUUAAUCGGGGCAGGGUGAGUCGACCCCUAAGGCGAGGCCGAAAGGCGUAGUCGAUGGGAAACGGGUUAAUAUUCCCGUACUUGGUGUUACUGCGAAGGGGGGACGGAGAAGGCUAUGUUGGCCGGGCGACGGUUGUCCCGGUUUAAGCGUGUAGGUGUGUGUUCCAGGUAAAUCCGGUUCACUUUAACACUGAGGCGUGAUGACGAGGCACUACGGUGCUGAAGCAACAAAUGCCCUGCUUCCAGGAAAAGCCUCUAAGCAUCAGGUAACAUCAAAUCGUACCCCAAACCGACACAGGUGGUCAGGUAGAGAAUACCAAGGCGCUUGAGAGAACUCGGGUGAAGGAACUAGGCAAAAUGGUGCCGUAACUUCGGGAGAAGGCACGCUGACACGUAGGUGAAGUGAUUUACUCAUGGAGCUGAAGUCAGUCGAAGAUACCAGCUGGCUGCAACUGUUUAUUAAAAACACAGCACUGUGCAAACACGAAAGUGGACGUAUACGGUGUGACGCCUGCCCGGUGCCGGAAGGUUAAUUGAUGGGGUCAGCGCAAGCGAAGCUCCUGAUCGAAGCCCCGGUAAACGGCGGCCGUAACUAUAACGGUCCUAAGGUAGCGAAAUUCCUUGUCGGGUAAGUUCCGACCUGCACGAAUGGCGUAAUGAUGGCCAGGCUGUCUCCACCCGAGACUCAGUGAAAUUGAACUCGCUGUGAAGAUGCAGUGUACCCGCGGCAAGACGGAAAGACCCCGUGAACCUUUACUAUAGCUUGACACUGAACAUUGAGCCUUGAUGUGUAGGAUAGGUGGGAGGCUUUGAAGCGUGGACGCCAGUCUGCGUGGAGCCGACCUUGAAAUACCACCCUUUAAUGUUUGAUGUUCUAACGUGGACCCGUGAUCCGGGUUGCGGACAGUGUCUGGUGGGUAGUUUGACUGGGGCGGUCUCCUCCUAAAGAGUAACGGAGGAGCACGAAGGUUGGCUAAUCCUGGUCGGACAUCAGGAGGUUAGUGCAAUGGCAUAAGCCAGCUUGACUGCGAGCGUGACGGCGCGAGCAGGUGCGAAAGCAGGUCAUAGUGAUCCGGUGGUUCUGAAUGGAAGGGCCAUCGCUCAACGGAUAAAAGGUACUCCGGGGAUAACAGGCUGAUACCGCCCAAGAGUUCAUAUCGACGGCGGUGUUUGGCACCUCGAUGUCGGCUCAUCACAUCCUGGGGCUGAAGUAGGUCCCAAGGGUAUGGCUGUUCGCCAUUUAAAGUGGUACGCGAGCUGGGUUUAGAACGUCGUGAGACAGUUCGGUCCCUAUCUGCCGUGGGCGCUGGAGAACUGAGGGGGGCUGCUCCUAGUACGAGAGGACCGGAGUGGACGCAUCACUGGUGUUCGGGUUGUCAUGCCAAUGGCACUGCCCGGUAGCUAAAUGCGGAAGAGAUAAGUGCUGAAAGCAUCUAAGCACGAAACUUGCCCCGAGAUGAGUUCUCCCUGAGACUUAGAGUCUCCUGAAGGAACGUUGAAGACGACGACGUUGAUAGGCCGGGUGUGUAAGCGCAGCGAUGCGUUGAGCUAACCGGUACUAAUGAACCGUGAGGCUUAACCUU